rnacentral:lncRNA from 1 species
GAUCUAAUGAUUUGCCAUGGUACAAAAUUAAAAGUAAAUGAAAAAUGGAGGGUCUAGAGUUCAAACCUCAGUGAGAGAUUGAUCAUUGCAUUGCUCAGGCAAAAAAAAGAAAGAGGAAAUAAUUAGAAGAACAGAAACACUCUUCUUUCAAACAUCACAUCUUGGCAAGAGGAAGAUCAAAUAUUUCACACGCUUUGGCUUCUCCUCUCUUCUGCUUUCCAAACUAUCAUGUCUUCUUUUUUUUUUUUCAUUUUCUUGUUAUAUUCUUUUGGACUAUUGCUAUUAAGCAAUAUUGAGCAAAUUAAAAGAGAUUAAAUUCUUAGGUUCGAUAAUUAAAGGAGCCUAGCCUCAAUUAUUCUAUGAAGUGGGAAGA